UGCCAGCCGCCGCGGUAAUACGGAGGGGGUUAGCGUUGUUCGGAAUUACUGGGCGUAAAGCGCACGUAGGCGGAUUAGUAAGUUAGGGGUGAAAUCCCGGGGCUCAACCCCGGAACUGCAUUCGAAACUGGCAAACUGGAGUGUCGGAGAGGGUGGUAGAAUUCCCGGUGUAGAGGUGAAAUUCGUAGAGAUCGGGAGGAAUACCGGUGGCGAAGGCGGCCACCUGGAAGAUAACUGACGCUGAGACGCGAAAGCGUGGGGAGCAAACAGGAUUAGAUA
rnacentral:rRNA from 1 species